AGCUGUUUCUGUACCUCACUUCUGUCUUUAGUCCGUCACUUUCCUUUCUCCAUAAAUGUUAUUCAACCACGUAGUAGCCCCGGGUUUGCUCUGAACCUGUUCUGGUUCUGGGGGCAGCCCAACUAUUGUAUCAUUCUCUGCUCAAACACUGUUAAAUUUAAUUUGUCUAAAGUGUUUCUUUUAACAAAGAGAAGGUGUAUUAGAUUUCCACCUAAUUUGAAAAUUUCAAAGCCAUAAUGGAGAAGCGCAGGCACUACUGGUCAUUUUUGUCCAGUAGAUGGAGCCCUAGUAGAAAGGAAACAGUCUGGCAAGUAUCAAAAUUUCUCAGAGGAAGAUUUGAACGGGGAAUUCACUGUGGAUUCCACACCCUAAGAGUCCAUUAGGCAGCCUGCCAGAGUUCUCCCCAGCCAGUCUGAGUGAGAACUCCCAGCGGAAGGACCCUGAAAUGAACUAAUAAAGUAACCAGCAGGACAAAGCAAUGUGCCAUGGAAAGAACAACAGAUUUGAUUUUAAUCCGAAUGCCAAGAGUUUGUUUUUGCAAACAUACAAAACUUUAGGAAUUAAGGUGGGUUGGAGGUGGAUUUGUGAUACUCAUUGGAUUAGAAAUAAAAGGUUAACAAGUAUAUUAAAAUUAAAGCCAUAAGGCUGUGAUUUUAUGGUGUGUAUGUAUUUGAGGGAAAGAGGAAAAAAUACAUUUAAAAGGCUUGUAAUUCCCUAAAUACCCAUGACUUAUUAAUUAUACAUGGAGUAAUUAAUAAUACAUAGAGUAAUUAUUACAAUAAUACAUGGAGUAAUUAAAAUUUCUGCAACAUUUGAUUAUCAAGAUGUGAUAUAAUUUAUUGAAUUGGAUUAUAGUUUGUGGAUGUGCUUAGCGCUCUACUACUUUUUAAAAUGCUCUCCCACACAUCAUCAUCAGAGCACAUCUCAGAGAUGGAAAUUUGUGAUUUGCCCAAGGUUAGUGGGGCAACUGAUAAAAAAAGGAUCCUGUCUUACAUACUCCCACCCUUUGUUGUAAGCUCCUGUUGGAUGCCAAGAAUCACCUGCUGCCUUAGUUCUUUGAACAGGUUUUAUGUGUUUGAUGGAAAAAGGGCACUUUUCAAGAGAGAGAAUAGCUGAGCUUUGAAGAAUGGAAUGACCAGGAUCUGAGUAGAGAGAGUGGCAGGAAGGGGAGCUGGGGCUAGGCAAGCUUGGGUUCACAGAGCUGCCCCUCUCUUAUCUACCUGGUGGAGGGGGAGUAGAGAUCAUGAUACUCCAACCCCUCUCUUCAUGAACCUGGAGUAGGGAGAGUAGAAGAGAGAGGGAACAGGGGAAUCUCAUAAGAUUGCUUGGUAGCAUAACGACCUCGGCGAAUUUAAAGUGGAACUGAGGUCCUUAGUCUUAGUCCAUUUGUGCUGCUAUAACAAAGUAUCUUACACUGGGUAAUUUAUAAACAACAGAAAUGUAUUGCUCACAGUUCUGGAGGCUGGGAAGUCCAAGAUAAAGUGCCAGCAGGUUCAAUGUCUGGUAAGGGCUCAUUGCACAGAGAUGGUACCUCUUGCUGCAUUCUCACAUGGUAGAAGGGAGCAAACAGCCUCCUUUUAAUCUCCUUUACAUUAUCCCAUUUAUGAAGGCAGUCUUCAUGACUUAAUCACUUCCCCCAAAGUCUCCACCUCCAUGCUAUGACAUUGAGGAUUAAGUUUCAGCCUAUGAUUUUGGAAAGCAUACCAACAUUCAGACCAUAGAACCAGCCAAUGAGAUUGUGGGCUAUUCUUCCACCAUACUCAAUGGGCAAAGACAUGGAGUAGGGCAGAGAGCUGGAUUUAACCAGGGUUGGAGUUUGGCCAAGUGAGUUUAAAGUACAAUUAAAAGGACAAGGGAGUUUGGGAUCUAUUCAAGAGGGUGACUAUGAUGGACCAUCCAAUUUCAGUUGGAUAAGGAAGUUGAGGACAGCAAGUCACAGUCACAGUCUGAGCCAAUUCUCAGUGGCCAGGGCUAUAGAAGGACACAGGCCAUAAGAAGAUAAGGAGGAACCUUGCACUGCUGGCCUCUGACAGUGAGUAGAACCCAAUCUCUCUCUAAGCCAGUGACCCAAUUUCCUCUGUCUUAAACAGCUCAUAGUACAGCUGGCUCUUUCUCAUUCUUCAGGCUGCUGUGAAAUCUUCCCUGACUUCCCCAGCAUAGGACACAGAUCCUCCCUGCUGUUCUUAAUAACACACUUUUUUUUUUAUUUCUUUCAGGGCUUCUCACCAUCUGGUUAUUUUAUUGAUUUGUUUACAUGUUUAUUGUCUGUUUUUCCCACCAGAAUGCAAGCUCCACAAGGCCAGGAAUCUUUCCUGUCCAAUUCACCACAGCAGCCUCAACCUGGCAGACAGUUCAGCAUACAGCUAAAUAAUGGCUCCCAAAGAUGUGUCUACAUCCUAAUCUCCAGAAUCUGUGAAUGUUACUUUAUGUGGCAAGUACGUGGCAGAUGUAAUUAAGUCAAGGAUCUUUGGAUGGUUAUCCUGAAUUAUCUGGGUGGGCCCUAAAUACAAUCACAAGUGUCCUUAUAGGAGAGAGGCUGAAGGAGAUUUGGUACCAACAGAAGAGGAGGAGGAAAUUGUGAUCAUGCAGAAACUGGAGUGAUGGAGUCACAAGCCAAGGAAUGCCAGCAGCCACCAGAAGCCGAAAGAGGCCCUGCCAACACCUUGAUUUAGGCCUAAUGAAACUGAGUUUAGAUUUCUGGACCCCAGAACUGUGAAAGAAUAAAUUUCUGUUGUGUUAAGCCCCUAA